rnacentral:rRNA from 1 species
AUUGAACGCUGGCGGCAGGCCUAACACAUGCAAGUCGAACGGUAACAGGAAGCAGCUUGCUGCUUUGCUGACGAGUGGCGGACGGGUGAGUAAUGUCUGGGAAACUGCCCGAUGGAGGGGGAUAACUACUGGAAACGGUAGCUAAUACCGCAUAACGUCGCAAGCCCAAAGAGGGGGACCUUAGGGCCUCUUGCCAUCGGCUGUGCCCAGAUGGGAUUAGCUAGUAGGUGGGGUAACGGCUCACCUAGGCGACGAUCCCUAGCUGGUCUGAGAGGAUGACCAGCCACACUGGAACUGAGACACGGUCCAGACUCCUACGGGAGGCAGCAGUGGGGAAUAUUGCACAAUGGGCGCAAGCCUGAUGCAGCCAUGCCGCGUGUAUGAAGAAGGCCUUCGGGUUGUAAAGUACUUUCAGCGGGGAGGAAGGGAGUAAAGUUAAUACCUUUGCUCAUUGACGUUACCCGCAGAAGAAGCACCGGCUAACUCCGUG